rnacentral:rRNA from 1 species
UAUUAUGAGAGUUUGAUCCUGGCUCAGGACGAACGCUGGCGGCGUGCCUAAUACAUGCAAGUCGAACGCUUCUUUCCUCCCAAGUGCUUGCACUCAAUUGGAAAGAGGAGUGGCGGACGGGUGAGUAACACGUGGGUAACCUACCCAUCAGAGGGGGAUAACACUUGGAAACAGGUGCUAAUACCGCAUAACAGUUUAUGCCGCAUGGCAUAAGAGUGAAAGGCGCUUUCGGGUGUCGCUGAUGGAUGGACCCGCGGUGCAUUAGCUAGUUGGUGAGGUAACGGCUCACCAAGGCCACGAUGCAUAGCCGACCUGAGAGGGUGAUCGGCCACACUGGGACUGAGACACGGCCCAGACUCCUACGGGAGGCAGCAGUAGGGAAUCUUCGGCAAUGGACGAAAGUCUGACCGAGCAACGCCGCG